AGCGAACGCUGGCGGCAGGCUUAACACAUGCAAGUCGAGCGGGCAUCCUUGUGGUGUCAGCGGCAGACGGGUGAGUAACGCGUGGGAACGUGCCCUUCGGUUCGGAAUAACUCAGGGAAACUUGAGCUAAUACCGGAUACGUGCGAGAGCAGAAAGGUUUAUCUGCCGAAGGAUCGGCCCGCGUCUGAAUAGCUAGUUGGUGAGGUUAUGGCUCACCAAGGCGACGAUCAGUAGCUGGUCUGAGAGGAUGAUCAGCCACACUGGGACUGAGACACGGCCCAGACUCCUACGGGAGGCAGCAGUGGGGAAUAUUGGACAAUGGGGGCAACCCUGAUCCAGCCAUGCCGCGUGAGUGAUGACGGCCUUAGGGUUGUAAAGCUCUUUUCUCCGGGACGAUAAUGACGGUACCGGAGGAAUAAGCCCCGGCUAACUUCGUG
rnacentral:rRNA from 1 species